rnacentral:rRNA from 1 species
AGAGUUUGAUCAUGGCUCAGAUUGAACGCUGGCGGAAUGCUUUACACAUGCAAGUCGAACGAUGAACCUUAGCUUGCUAAGGGGAUUAGUGGCGAACGGGUGAGUAAUAUAUCGGAACGUGCCUUGUAAUGGGGGAUAACUAGUCGAAAGAUUAGCUAAUACCGCAUACGCCCUGAGGGGGAAAGUAGGGGAUCUUCGGACCUUACGUUAUAAGAGCGGCCGAUAUCUGAUUAGCUAGUUGGUGGGGUAAUGGCCUACCAAGGCUUCGAUCAGUAGCUGGUCUGAGAGGACGACCAGCCACACUGGAACUGAGACACGGUCCAGACUCCUACGGGAGGCAGCAGUGGGGAAUUUUGGACAAUGGGCGCAAGCCUGAUCCAGCCAUUCCGCGUGAGUGAAGAAGGCCUUCGGGUUGUAAAGCUCUUUCGCAAGGGAAGAAAACUUACACAAUAACACUGUGUGAGGCUGACGGUACCUUGAUAAGAAGCACCGGCUAACUACGUGCCAGCAGCCGCGGUAAUACGUAGGGUGCGAGCGUUAAUCGGAAUUACUGGGCGUAAAGCGUGCGCAGGCGGUUUGGCAAGUCAGAUGUGAAAUCCCCGAGCUCAACUUGGGAACUGCGUUUGAAACUGCCAGACUAGAAUAUGUCAGAGGGGGGUAGAAUUCCACGUGUAGCAGUGAAAUGCGUAGAGAUGUGGAGGAAUACCAAUGGCGAAGGCAGCCCCCUGGGAUAAUAUUGACGCUCAUGCACGAAAGCGUGGGGAGCAAACAGGAUUAGAUACCCUGGUAGUCCACGCCCUAAACGAUGUCUACUAGUUGUUGGUGGAGUAAAAUCCAUGAGUAACGCAGCUAACGCGUGAAGUAGACCGCCUGGGGAGUACGGUCGCAAGAUUAAAACUCAAGGAAUUGACGGGGGCCCGCACAAGCGGUGGAUUAUGUGGAUUAUUCGAUGCAACGCGAAAAACCUUACCUGGACUGACAUGCCACUACGAAGCAGAGAUGCAUAGUGCCGUACGAAAGGUGAACACCAGUGCUGCAUGCUGUGUCCAGCCCUUCUGUUCUUGAGAAUGUUUGGG